AUAUUAAUAAGCGGAGGAAGAGAAACUAACGAGGAUUCCCUCAGUAACGGCGAGUGAAGCGGGAAGAGCCCAGCACCGAAUCCCCCGCCAGAAAUGGCGACGGGAACUGUGGUGUUAAGGACAGCCUACGGGGAUCGGUUGCGAGUCCGAGUCCUCCUGAUCGGGGCUUUACCCAAAGCGGGUGCAAGGCCUCUACGGCUUGCGGCCGGUUCUCGAAGGUCGUCCUAGGAGUCGGGUUGUUUGAGAUUGCAGCCCAAAGUGGGUGGUAAACUCCACCUAAGGCUAAAUACAGACACGAGACCGAUAGCGCACAAGUA
rnacentral:rRNA from 1 species